rnacentral:rRNA from 1 species
CAUUCACGGAGAGUUUGAUCCUGGCUCAGGACGAACGCUGGCGGCGUGCUUAACACAUGCAAGUCGAACGAUGAACCACUUCGGUGGGGAUUAGUGGCGAACGGGUGAGUAACACGUGGGCAAUCUGCCCUGCACUCUGGGACAAGCCCUGGAAACGGGGUCUAAUACCGGAUACUGACCCGCUUGGGCAUCCAAGCGGUUCGAAAGCUCCGGCGGUGCAGGAUGAGCCCGCGGCCUAUCAGCUUGUUGGUGAGGUAAUGGCUCACCAAGGCGACGACGGGUAGCCGGCCUGAGAGGGCGACCGG